rnacentral:rRNA from 1 species
UACGUAGGGUGCGAGCGUUAAUCGGAAUUACUGGGCGUAAAGCGUGCGCAGGCGGCGCGUUAAGACAGGUGUGAAAGCCCCGAGCUUAACUUGGGAAUUGCGCUUGUGACUGGCGUGCUGGAGUGUGGCAGAGGGAGGUGGAAUUCCACGUGUAGCGGUGAAAUGCGUAGAUAUGUGGAGGAACACCGAUGGCGAAGGCGGCAUCCUGGACCAUAACUGACGCUGAGGCGCGAAAGCUAGGGGAGCAAACGGG